UCCCUGGUGGCUCAGAUGGUAAAGCAUCUGCCUGCAAUGCAGGAGACCCAGGUUCAAUCCCUGGGUCGGGAA
rnacentral:tRNA from 1 species